rnacentral:rRNA from 1 species
UACGUAGGGUGCGAGCGUUGCCCGGAUUUAUUGGGCGUAAAGGGCACGUAGGCGGCUCGGCAAAUCGGUCGUGGAAUCCCGACGCUUACCGUCGGAACGGCGGCCGAAAAUACCGGGCUCGAGGGCGUGAGGGGUCACUGGAACUCCUGGUGAAGCGGUGAAAUGCGUAGAUAUCAGGAGGAACGCCGGAGGCGAAAGCGAGUGACUGGCGCGUUCCUGACGCUGAGGUGCGAAAGCUAGGGGAGCAAACAGG